CCAUAUACACGCUCCAACAGUGGCCAACAUUAUUGUUUUACGCAGAGUACCUGCAACUUAUGUCGGUCCAAUCUGCUACCUACAGCGAGUAUGCAGAAUCGCACUGUCAAAGCCGUUGCUAAAACGAUAGUACGUUGUAGGUCGUAUUUCCAGCAGAGGGCACCAGAGGGGACGUAAGCACUGGUAGGGGAUCUCCCGCGACAGACAGCGCUUCCAACGAAGAGCUCUGCAGACCACAGACAGCACAACCAGGAACCAUGAAGUGCCACAUUGCCGCUGUACUCGCGCUGCUGUCAUUGCUGGCGAGCUGUGAGGCGCAGUGCCCAGUCGUCUGCACCCGGGAAUUCAGGCCGCUUACAGCACGCUGCAAGGGAGGCGUCACGAAGAAAUUCAACAACCCCUGUCUCAUGGAAGUGCACAACUGUCAGCAGAAAGACGGCUGUGUGGUGAUAUGAUGCGGUCAGCAGAGGUGAUUGUGGAUCCCUUGGAAAGAAGACUUCACUCUGCAUGCUGUUAUAAUUUGUUUUACGUUGACAGCUUUGUGUCUGAGAUAAAAUUAUUCAACGAAUUAGAUAUUUCUGUGUCUUAAUGUAUUACUGAUUUAUCCAAAAUUUGAUUAAAUUUUUCCAACACUACCCAAUGGAUACAGAAUUUUUUUAUUGUUCAAUUAUUUCUCUUUUAGUAGUCCACUACGCUACGUGUUUCACGCAUAGACGAUCGUAUGUAUUCUUGUAUCAAUGAUAAUGUUUUGGACGAAAUAAUUAAC